rnacentral:rRNA from 1 species
GUGUACAGCCAUACCACCCUAAUCCUGAAGGGUUAACAGGGUCGGGCCAGGUCAGUACUUGGAUGGGAGACUGCCUGAGAAUACUGGGGCUGUAUAGG